rnacentral:lncRNA from 1 species
UCUAGUUCAAAAAGUGACACUCCCGACAAUAGUUUGCAUUGCACUCCGGACAAUCUACACGUAUCAAACAAUCACAACAAUCAAUCACCACAAUCACAUAACACCAAAUAAAAAGCAACAACGAGAAAAUAUUUUUUUUUAAAUCAAAACAAAAGUGGCAAAGCAGGUACAAACCUAACGCACAAAGAAAUAACUAAUUUGGACGUACGGUUUGAAAGAUAUGACCUCCGGUAGGUUUAAACUAAAUCUGAUCAAACUAAAAUUUAAACUCUGCUAAACCUGAAAUUUAUUAGUGCUAUCAUAUUCUACUCGUCAUUAUGAGUUCGAAAAAGAAUUUCCUAAAUCGGCCAUACCGGUUAAAGGUUAAACAAGUUUAAAUUUUUUAGUGCGAAUCGUAUCAAACUAAAACAGAGCAAAAACCAAUCUGGUGCGGCACUGUAGCACGUCCACGUACGCGUUGUGAUAGGCCGAAACAGAUCGCGUACGCGCUCACUGUGAGCACGGGAAACGGCGGCUGCUUCGAUCGUGGGUGGUGGGGCUCCUCCGGCGGCUCUCCGGUGAUACUGGUGGUGGUCAGAUGCGGCGGACGCGGGGUUCAAACUCCGGCGGUGGCGAGGUGAACUCCGGCGUGGGCGGCGCCCGCGUGCUACUGCAGGGUCCGACGAGAUGGGGUCAGGCGGCGCGUUCCUGGCGAAGCAGGUCGAGGCACUCGAAGUCGACUUCUCCUGCGAUGAACUCGAGGCGAGGCGCUCGAGGUGUGGGGUGCUCCUGGGGAUUCGCGAGUUGGAUGCGGUCUCGUGGUGCGAACUCGAGCGGCGGCGCGUGGUGCGAUUCGGGGCUGCUCGUUCCUGGCGAUACGAAGCUGUAGUAGCUCCUAUCGAUGCGAGGCUGUAGCCCUAGUGCGAUUGGAGGCAGUGAGCAGACUGUAAAAAUUAAAAUACUAUAUUUUUAAUAAGUUGGAUGAGAGAGAAGAGAAGAAAAAAGGGAAACGGAUUUUCGUGAAGAGUCAGCUCCUAAGUGUUUUGUAAGAAUGAAAGGUGGGUCAUAUAUGAUAAAAGUAGUACUCUUUUAUAGCUAAUUAUUGUACAAGCUAGUUAUAAAAUGGGCUAUAAGACUGCUUAUAGCCAGCAGUUGACUAUACCAUUAACCAUGCUCUUAGAGCAUGUCUAGUAGAG